ensembl:lncRNA
GUAAAAGUUGCUUUGAAAAAAGAAGUGAAAUUUACUAAGCACUGUAAUAUAUUAACAUUUAAUUUGUCAGAGGUGACAUAACUUCCUUCUAUUUCAUGUGUAUUACUUUCACAUAGUAAGUCAUUAAGAGAUCAAAAUGUCUAUAUUUAAUAAUUUUAAAUACUUUUAAUAUUUUAGUAAUAUUUUAAUGAUUUUAUAAUAAUCAUUUGUAAUAUCAACAUGAAAAGUGUUUUCUUAGAAAAUAUUCAAAUAGUGUGGCGCAUGGUUGUAGCAUGUUUCAGCACUUGGUCCAGACGUUCUGACUUGGUGAGCUCCCUUGUGUCUUCCACAGGAUAAUGGCAAGAAAUCAGACCAUGAUCACAGAGUUCAUCCUACUGGGUUUUCCCCUUGGCCCAAGGACUCAUGAGUAAGAAUUUCAAGAGAAUGAGCUCAUAAGGAGUAGUACCUGCAGGAAGUAUACCAUGUGCUGCAGAAUGAAGAGAAAUCUUGUUGCCUUACAAUGCCAAGCAAAUACACGUAACACCUGUCUUGGGAAUAUUGAAAGAACAAAAUGAAUAAACAUGGGAGAUGCACUCAAUAGUUCAUCUGCUGAUAGAAACAACUCCUUCAUCAAGUCCAGGGGAGCCCUGACUGAGUUUGACCUCCCAGUGAGGCCCCUUAGAGAGGCGUGUCAGUCCCAGCCUGUACCUUCUCACCUCUCUGUGAGGCUUCUUCUAAGACUAAGUUUGAUGAAAAGGCCACAGAUUGCACUUGUGGACUUUGUUUUCUGCAGUCACUGCUUGCUUUGCCAUUUGACCAAUGAACAGAGAAAGGUAUCCAUGAAGUUUUAUACCUCCUUCUGGCUACUGAAGGUCUCUAAUGUGCAGCAAGAGUGGCACUCACAGAAGUUCUUAUCUCAGGUAUCUGCAUCAUUAUUAUGUUUGCUUCGGGCUUUUUCAAAGAGAAAUAAAAAUUCCUAAAAGGCAAUAUAUAGGAGUGAAAACAACACUUUGAGAUCCGAUCAUUUUUAACACCCCUUGUCUCAACUGUUGAGGAACAGUGCUUUUUUUUUUCUCUUCGUACUAUUUUUGAACUCUUUACUAGUGUAGGGUUAACUUUAUAAAGUUAACUUAAAAUACAAAUGGGUAUUGAGGAGGGAGGAGGAAGAAGGGUGAGAGUAUGGGUAGGUUGCAGGGUAGGGUGGAAAAUAUCACUAUGUUCCUGAAUCUGUAUAUAUGAAAUUUGUAUACCUUAAAUGAAAUUUUUAAAAAUCCAACUUUUAAGUUGUAGAAUCCAAAAUGUAAAACCAUACCAAUCAAAGAACAACAAGUGUUUUCACCUUAUCCAAUACUGUUCUUUUGACCUUCCUUGGUUUCACAAUAGCUGAUAAAAACAUGAAUAUGUAAAUAGUCACCCCUUUAGAGUUGUUUCAUUAUAACCUUGAAUGGGAAACAUUAUACGUAUAGUCAAUAUCCAGGGUUACAUACAGUCAGGGUGUAGAUUAUAUUUGAUGAAAAGUUGUUUCACUAAGAAUUCUACUUGUGUCCAUAUUUGUUCCUUUCUGUCAUAAAUAGUUUAUUCUAGCCUAUUCCUUUCUACCAUAAAUUUCAUUCAAAAACAUAUAAAACUAUAAUUUCAGAUUGUUUUGUUAUAAACAAUUCAAAUCAUUUUUGAAAAGGAAGCUAAUGAUUUACAUUUGUGAUUGCUGAAGCAUCCAAGUGCCUCCUGUCCUAUAUCCCUGGCUGGGUGCAACACAGAGUGUGCAUCACAGGUGACAGCCAUGGAGGCUUGUCCCUUGUGCUUUUGCAGGAUUUGAUCGCAGGCUAAGAUGGGCUUCCCUGGCCACCAGCCUGGCACUCACCUUGUGGCCUUUCUCCUUAUGCCCUGAUCUCCACGUCACCCCCAGCAGAUAUCCUGUCUCAUCAAAAUACUAUCUUGCAAAGAAAUUUAGUAUUUCUGACUUUCUACACCUAUUUUAACUUGAAUUAAACAGAAGAUAUGUUACAGAUAUGAAAAUGUAAAGACAUUAAAAUGUUUGUGUGAUAAAGUUCAGUUUCUUAGAUUUGUCCAAUAUUGAACUUUGUUGUACUUAUUCACAAUUUGGUGGAUGUCACAAUAGUUUUCAACCUUGUUUAACGCAUUAUGCCCCAUCAUCCUAUGUAUAGCACACCAGUAAAACAAAUUGAGCAAUAAAUGUACCACUUAUGAUAUCUUUGAGCUAAAU